rnacentral:tRNA from 1 species
GCACCGAUGGGGUAGCCAGGAUAUCCUUAAGGCCUCCGGAGCCUUGGACGCGGGUUCGAAUCCCGCCCGGUGCG